AAAAAUCGGCUAAUAAGGGUUCCGUUAUAGGGUUCUGUAAUCAACAAAACUUUGUUGACUAUGGUACCCUAAAACGAAACCCCAACCAGCAGAUUUGUUGUAUAUUGGUAGGUUAAUAGUUAUAUAAUUAAAGAUUAAUAUUAUCCUACAAAUAGAACAAUCCAUAUUUUAGG